rnacentral:rRNA from 1 species
GUUAAGUCAGAUGUGAAAUCCCCGGGCUCAACCUGGGAACUGCAUUUGAAACUGGCAAGCUAGAGUCUCGUAGAGGGGGGUAGAAUUCCAGGUGUAGCGGUGAAAUGCGUAGAGAUCUGGAGGAAUACCGGUGGCGAAGGCGGCCCCCUGGACGAAGACUGACGCUCAGGUGCGAAAGCGUGGGGAGCAAACAGGAUUAGAUACCCUGGUAGUCCACGCUGUAAACGAUGUCGAUUUGGAGGUUGUGCCCUUGAGGCGUGGCUUCCGGAGCUAACGCGUUAAAUCGACCGCCUGGGGAGUACGGCCGCAAGGUUAAAACUCAAAUGAAUUGACGGGGGCCCGCACAAGCGGUGGAGCAUGUGGUUUAAUUCGAUGCAACGCGAAGAACCUUACCUACUCUUGACAUCCAGAGAACUUUCCAGAGAUGGAUUGGUGCCUUCGGGAACUCUGAGACAGGUGCUGCAUGGCUGUCGUCAGCUCGUGUUGUGAAAUGUUGGGUUAAGUCCCGCAACGAGCGCAACCCUUAUCCUUUGUUGCCAGCGGUUCGGCCGGGAACUCAAAGGAGACUGCCAGUGAUAAACUGGAGGAAGGUGGGGGAUGACGUCAAGUCAUCAUGGCCCUUACGAGUAGGGCUACACACGUGCUACAAUGGCGUAUACAAAGAGAAGCGACCUCGCGAGAGCAAGCGGACCUCAUAAAGUACGUCGUAAUCCGGAAUUGGAGUCUGCAACUCGACUCCAUGAAGUCGGAAUCGCUAGUAAUCGUAGAUCAGAAUGCUACGGUGAAUACGUUCCCGGGCCUUGUACACACCGCCCGUCCACCAUGGGGAAGUGGGUUGCAAAAGAAGUAGGUAGCUUAACCUUCCGGGAGGGCGCUUACCACUUUGUGAUCAUGA